rnacentral:rRNA from 1 species
UACGAAGGGGGCUAGCGUUGCUCGGAUUGACUGGGCGUAAAGCGCACGUAGGCGGCUUGUUAAGUCAGGGGUGAAAUCCUGGAGCUCAACUCCAGAACUGCCUUUGAUACUGGCGAGCUUGAGUUCGGGAGAGGUGAGUGGAACUGCGAGUGUAGAGGUGAAAUUCGUAGAUAUUCGCAAGAACACCAGUGGCGAAGGCGGCUCACUGGCCCGAUACUGACGCUGAGGUGCGAAAGCGUGGGGAGCAAACAGG